rnacentral:tRNA from 1 species
AAUCAAUGAACUUGUACAAGUAUGUAUUUUGAAAAUACAAAAAAGAAGAAAAGCUUCUAUUGAUUU